CUUGUCCCCAGCACUGCGCACACGGGGCUGUCGCAUCCUUUCCAGAGGGAGGGAGAGCAGGAGUUUGCUCCCGCGCCUGGCAAGAAGUGGAGUCUAUAUAGGGUGGGGCGGGGAGCGAAGAAUUCUCCACUUUGGAUUGCGCCAGCUCGCCUUCCUCCCCCAGUCCGCGUUGGUUGCCACCGCUUCGCCUCCGCUGUUGCCCUAGCCGCCACGGCUGCUUGCACUGUCGGCGCGGGGCUGGCCGCCGGUCCGUGGGUCGCCUGUCCUCUCUUCGCCCCGGUCUGCUGGACGAAAGCGGGCGAAGGCUGCAACCCGGACACCUCGGGGACGUCGCUGUCCUCAGUCCCGGGCACACAGAGACCUGACCCGCAUCGCGCACAGAGCAGCGCGGAGCCAGGGCGGAUGAGGGGACCCGGCCGGCGAGUGCAGGGGUGCGGAGCUCGGUGCUACCUUCUUUGGAAAUCUUUUCUUCCACUUAAAGUUUUCUUUUUUCCGUCCUGA